CAUCAAAGAAACUUUUGUAGCAAGAUGUACCAAAGAAAGUGGUCAACAUGGACACAUACAUCACGUCGAAACCAGUUGAUCACAUGAAGCAGCAAUUGAUUAAUGUGGAUUAAACUAUGGAGAAAGGAAGUGAAGUCGAAAAGCAAGUUGACCAAACCAAGAUACUCAGGUUGACAAGGAGUAGCUGUGGGACGUUUUAGAGGAUGGAGAUGAUGGGAUGCCCUCCGCCUAGUUCUGUUAUUUAGUAGUUGAAUAAGUUGUAGUCGCUACGAGCUCUGAUAUUGUAACACUAGGGUGGGGUUGGUGAUUUAAUUUUUAAUUGUAGUUUGAGUUGAAUCUUGGAAACUUUGUUACUUUCCUAUUAUGAUGUUAAAUAACGUGAGUAAUUUUAUUAAUACAAUCAGUGAAUUGUUUUCCUCA